UGGGGAAUAUUGGACAAUGGGCGAAAGCCUGAUCCAGCCAUGCCGCGUGUGUGAAGAAGGCCUUUUGGUUGUAAAGCACUUUAAGCGAGGAGGAGGCUACUUAGAUUAAUACUCUAGGAUAGUGGACGUUACUCGCAGAAUAAGCACCGGCUAACUCUGUGCCAGCAGCCGCGGUAAUACAGAGGGUGCGAGCGUUAAUCGGAUUUACUGGGCGUAAAGCGUGCGUAGGCGGCCUUUUAAGUCGGAUGUGAAAUCCCUGAGCUUAACUUAGGAAUUGCAUUCGAUACUGGGAAGCUAGAGUAUGGGAGAGGAUGGUAGAAUUCCAGGUGUAGCGGUGAAAUGCGUAGAGAUCUGGAGGAAUACCGAUGGCGAAGGCAGCCAUCUGGCCUAAUACUGACGCUGAGGUACGAAAGCAUGGGGAGCAAACAGG
rnacentral:rRNA from 1 species